AGACCAUGAUGUGGGCAUUUUCUUUGUAGGUCUUUGUAUCUUUCCCACGCUUUAUAUAAUGAUUCCAUCUCGAACUGUGCAAAUGUUGUGAUGCCAUUCCUCAACUU
rnacentral:snoRNA from 1 species